rnacentral:rRNA from 1 species
AAACUCAAAUGAAUUGACGGGGAGCACCACAACGGGUGGAGCUUGCGGUUUAAUUGGAUUCAACGCCGGAAAUCUUACCGGGACCGACAGCAAUAUGAAGGCCAGGCUGAAGACUUUGCCGGAUUAGCUGAGAGGUGGUGCAUGGCCGUCGUCAGUUCGUACUGUGAAGCAUCCUGUUAAGUCAGGCAACGAGCGAGACCCACGCCCACAGUUGCCAGCGUACUCUCCGGGAGUGACGGGUACACUGUGGGGACCGCCGCUGCUAAAGCGGAGGAAGGAAUGGGCAACGGUAGGUCAGUAUGCCCCGAAUAUCCCGGGCUACACGCGAGCUACAAUGGUUGGUACAAUGGGUAUCUACCCCGAAAGGGGACGGAAAUCUCCUAAACCCAUCCGUAGUUCGGAUUGUGGGCUGCAACUCGCCCACAUGAAGCUGGAAUCUGUAGUAAUCGUGUCUCAAAAUGGCACGGUGAAUAUGUCCCUGCUCCUU